rnacentral:ribozyme from 1 species
GGGAGCCGUGUGAUAGGCGACUAUCGCGCGCGGUUCUUUGAGAGGGAGCCGGGUUCUAUAGCCUGUGCUAGUGCCUAGAGAUGGGCGCGAACCCUACUCUCGA